UUUGUCUGUCUAAUUCAUUUUCAUAUGUUUGUCCUAAACAUCCAUGCUUGUUGUCAAACUUUUAGUUAGGUUUUGUUUCGUAUGUUCUGAG